AACGGCCGUACCAUGCUGAAUAUACCGGUUCUCGUUAGAUCACCGAAGUCAAGCAUCAUUGGGCGCGGUCAGUACUUGGGUGGAACACCGCGUG